CGAGUCUUAACCGGGCGUUAAGUUGCAGGGUAUAGACCCGAAACCCGGUGAUCUAGCCAUGGGCAGGUUGAAGGUUGGGUAACACUAACUGGAGGACCGAACCGACUAAUGUUGAAAAAUUAGCGGAUGACCUGUGGCUGGGGGUGAAAGGCCAAUCAAACCGGGAGAUAGCUGGUUCUCCCCGAAAGCUAUUUAGGUAGCGCCUCGUGAAUUCAUCUCCGGGGGUAGAGCACUGUUUCGGCUAGGGGGCCAUCCCGGCUUACCAACCCGAUGCAAACUGCGAAUACCGGAGAAUGUUAUCACGGGAGACACACGGCGGGUGCUAACGUCCGUCGUGAAGAGGGAAACAACCCAGACCGCCAGCUAAGGUCCCAAAGUCAUGGUUAAGUGGGAAACGAUGUGGGAAGGCCCAGACAGCCAGGAUGUUGGCUUAGAAGCAGCCAUCAUUUAAAGAAAGCGUAAUAGCUCACUGGUCGAGUCGGCCUGCGCGGAAGAUGUAACGGGGCUAAACCAUGCACCGAAGCUGCGGCAGCGAACGUAUCACUUAAAGCGAUUCAGCGGGUUACGAUUGACGGAGCGAAGCGACGUCAAAGCGUAUACAAAGUCGAGUCGGUUUAAGGAUACGUUCGUUGGGUAGGGGAGCGUUCUGUAAGCCUGUGAAGGUGUGUCGUGAGGCAUGCUGGAGGUAUCAGAAGUGCGAAUGCUGACAUAAGUAACGAUAAAGCGGGUGAAAAGCCCGCUCGCCGGAAGACCAAGGGUUCCUGUCCAACGUUAAUCGGGGCAGGGUGAGUCGACCCCUAAGGCGAGGCCGAAAGGCGUAGUCGAUGGGAAACGGGUUAAUAUUCCCGUACUUGGUGUUACUGCGAAGGGGGGACGGAGAAGGCUAUGUUGGCCGGGCGACGGUUGUCCCGGUUUAAGCGUGUAGGUGUGUGUUCCAGGUAAAUCCGGUUCACUUUAACACUGAGGCGUGAUGACGAGGCACUACGGUGCUGAAGCAACAAAUGCCCUGCUUCCAGGAAAAGCCUCUAAGCAUCAGGUAACAUCAAAUCGUACCCCAAACCGACACAGGUGGUCAGGUAGAGAAUACCAAGGCGCUUGAGAGAACUCGGGUGAAGGAACUAGGCAAAAUGGUGCCGUAACUUCGGGAGAAGGCACGCUGACACGUAGGUGAAGUGAUUUACUCAUGGAGCUGAAGUCAGUCGAAGAUACCAGCUGGCUGCAACUGUUUAUUAAAAACACAGCACUGUGCAAACACGAAAGUGGACGUAUACGGUGUGACGCCUGCCCGGUGCCGGAAGGUUAAUUGAUGGGGUCAGCGCAAGCGAAGCUCCUGAUCGAAGCCCCGGUAAACGGCGGCCGUAACUAUAACGGUCCUAAGGUAGCGAAAUUCCUUGUCGGGUAAGUUCCGACCUGCACGAAUGGCGUAAUGAUGGCCAGGCUGUCUCCACCCGAGACUCAGUGAAAUUGAACUCGCUGUGAAGAUGCAGUGUACCCGCGGCAAGACGGAAAGACCCCGUGAACCUUUACUAUAGCUUGACACUGAACAUUGAGCCUUGAUGUGUAGGAUAGGUGGGAGGCUUUGAAGCGUGGACGCCAGUCUGCGUGGAGCCGACCUUGAAAUACCACCCUUUAAUGUUU
rnacentral:rRNA from 3 species